GAUGAACGCUGGCGGCGUGCCUAAUACAUGCAAGUCGAGCGAACAGACGAGGAGCUUGCUCCUUUGACGUUAGCGGCGGACGGGUGAGUAACACGUAUGUAACCUACCUAUAAGACUGGGAUAACUUCGGGAAACCGGAGCUAACACCGGAUAAUAUUUCGAACCGCAUGGUUCGAUAGUGAAAGAUGGCUUUGCUAUCACUUAUAGAUGGACCUGCGCCGUAUUAGCUAGUUGGUAAGGUAACGGCUUACCAAGGCAACGAUACGUAGCCGACCUGAGAGACUGAUAGCCCACCUUGGAACUUGGCCACGCUCCAGGCUCCUACGAGACGCCGCAGACGGCUACCUGACGCAGUAGUCGAGAGCAUUGCGGAGCGGCGCCACGUGAGUGAUGAAGGUCUUCGGAUCGUGAUACUCUGUUAUUGGGGAUGAACAACUGUCUACGUAACCGUGCACGUAUUGACGGUACCUAAUCAGAAAGCCACGGCUAACUACGUG
rnacentral:rRNA from 1 species